UCUUUGCAGCCUUGUCACGCAGCCCCUCGCAAGCACUGUUGCUUGUGGGCACAACAAGGUGGCAGAAAGCAACCCAAAGAAUGAAAAGGCGUGACUCCUCGAGGCUCAGGAGAUUCACGUGCGAUGUUCCUUGGACAGACUCCUGCUUUUCCACGGCGGUGAUGGUCUUCUUCUGUAGACAUCACCUUUCUUGAGGCAGGUAGAGUAAAAGAUAGAAACCUGGCAGCCAGAUAUUGUUUGGAACAGGUGAAGCUCUUCCUGUCGGACACUAAGUGCUGCCACAACA